UCCGGAGGGUGCAAUCGUUAAUCGGAAUUACUGGGCGUAAAGCGCACGCAGGCGGUUGGAUAAGUUAGAUGUGAAAGCCCCGGGCUCAACCUGGGAAUUGCAUUUAAAACUGUCCAGCUAGAGUCUUGUAGAGGGGGGUAGAAUUUCAGGUGUAGCGGUGAAAUGCGUAGAGAUCUGGAGGAAUACCGGUGGCGAAGGCGGGCCCCUGGACAAAGACUGACGCUCAGGUGCGAAAGCGUGGGGAGAAAACAGG
rnacentral:rRNA from 1 species